UACGUAGGGGGCAAGCGUUGUCCGGAUUAUUGGGCGUAAAGAGCGUGUAGGCGGCCAGAUAGGUCCGUUGUGAAAACUGGAGGGCUUAACCUCCAGCGGUCGAAUGGAAACCAUCUGGCUAGAGUCCGGAAGAGGAGAGUGGAAAUUCCUGGUGUAGCGGUGAAAUGCGCAGAGUAUCAAGGAAGAACACCCGUGGCGAAGGCGGCUCUCUGGGACGGUACUGACGGCUGAGACGCGAAAGCGUGGGGAGCAAACAGG
rnacentral:rRNA from 1 species